UGGGGAAUAUUGGACAAUGGGGGCAACCCUGAUCCAGCGAUGCCGCGUGUGCGAAGAAGGCCUGCGGGUUGUAAAGCACUUUGGUUGGGGAAGAAGGUUGGGCGUUGAAUAGAUGCCUGAAUUGACGUUACCCAAAGAACAAGCACCGGCUAACUCUGUGCCAGCAGCCGCGGUAAUACGAAGGGUGCUAGCGUUGUUCGGAAUCACUGGGCGUAAAGCGCGCGUAGGCGGCUUAACAAGUCAGAGGUGAAAGCCUGGAGCUCAACUCCAGAACUGCCUUUGAAACUGUUAAGCUUGAGUGUCGGAGGGGAUAGCGGAAUUUCUAAUGUAGAGGUGAAAUUCGUAGAUAUUAGAAGGAACACCGGUGGCGAAGGCGGCUAUCUGGACGACAACUGACGCUGAGGCGCGAAAGCGUGGGGAUCAAACAGGAUUAGAUACCCAUGUAGUCCCUGAGCGGGCUGGCAAGGCGCAU
rnacentral:rRNA from 1 species